UACGUAGGGGCAAGCGUUGUCCGGAAUCAUUGGGCGUAAAGAGCGUGUAGGCGGCCCGAUAAGUCCGCUGUGAAAGUCCAGGGCUCAACCCUGGGAUGCCGGUGGAUACUGUCGGGCUCGAGUCCGGAAGAGGAGUGUGGAAUUCCUGGUGUAGCGGUGAAAUGCGCAGAUAUCAGGAGGAACACCAAUGGCGAAGGCAGCACUCUGGGACGUGACUGACGCUGAGACGCGAAAGCGUGGGGAGCAAACAGG
rnacentral:rRNA from 1 species